GUGUGUGUGUCUGUGUGUAUGUGUUUGUGUGUGUGUCUGUUAAUGUGUGUAUGUGUGUGUGUGUGUAGACAAGUCAUACCAUGAUAUAGUAGUGUCUUGCUUAUUACUAUUCUAGAAGGUGUCAGUAUUCAGUUAUUUUCUAUCCCUCAUCCGCUUGUGCUUUUAAACUGCUUUAAUUUUCUUUGUAUAUUGAUAGAUAGAGAAAAAAAGUAUAUUUUGCUUGACAGGAGACAAAAAACCCUCCAUAGAUGGACCCAUAUAAAAUCAUUAGCUAUUACAGACAGGGUGUCUAGG